CAGUCGCCGCGGUAAUACAGAGGGUGCGAGCGUUAAUCGGAUUUACUGGGCGUAAAGCGUGCGUAGGCGGCUUUUUAAGUCGGAUGUGAAAUCCCUGAGCUUAACUUAGGAAUUGCAUUCGAUACUGGGAAGCUAGAGUAUGGGAGAGGAUGGUAGAAUUCCAGGUGUAGCGGUGAAAUGCGUAAAGAUCUGGAGGAAUACCGAUGGCGAAGGCAGCCAUCUGGCCUAAUACUGACGCUGAGGUACGAAAGCAUGGGGAGCAAACAGGAUUAGAUACCCCAGUAGUCCCUGUCUCUUAUAC
rnacentral:rRNA from 1 species